rnacentral:rRNA from 1 species
CCUAAGGUAGCGAAAUUCCUUGUCGGGUAAGUUCCGACCCGCACGAAUGGCGUAACGACUGGGGCGCUGUCUCAACGAGGGACCCGGUGAAAUUGAAAUAGGCGUGAAGAUGCGUCUUACCCGCAGCAGGACAAAAAGACCCCGUGGAGCUUUACUGCAACUUGGUUUUGAGCUAGGGCCAUGCUUGUGUAGGAUAGGUGGGAGGCGAUGAAGCUGGGGCGCCAGCCUCGGUG